UACGUAGGCAGCAAGCGUUGUUCGGAGUUACUGGGCGUAAAGGGUGUGUAGGCGGUUCCUUAAGUUUGCUGUGAAAUCUCCCGGCUUAACCGGGAGGGUGCGGUGAAUACUGAGGGACUAGAGUACGGGAGAGGAAAGUGGAAUUCCGAUGGUGUAGCGGUGAAAUGCGUAGAUAUCAGGAGGAACACCGGUGGUGUAGACGGCUUUCUGGACCGUAACUGACGCUGAGACACGAAAGCGUGGGUAGCAAACAGG
rnacentral:rRNA from 1 species